CCUACGGGGGACAGCAGUAGGGAAUAUUGCUCAAUGGGGGAAACCCUGAAGCAGCAACGCCGCGUGGAGGAUGGAGGGUUUCGGAUUGUAAACUCCUUUUGUUAGAGAAGAUACUGACGGUUUCUAGCGAAUAAGCACCGGCUAACUCCGUGCCAGCAGCCGCGGUAAUACGGAGGGUGCAAGCGUUACUCGGAAUCACUGGGCGUAAAGGGCGCGUAGGCGGGAUAGCAAGUCAGAUGUGAAAUCCUAUGGCUUAACCAUAGAACUGCAUUUGGAACUGUUAUUCUAGAGUAUGGGAGAGGUAGGUGGAAUUCUUGGUGUAGGGGUAAAAUCCGUAGAGAUCAAGAGGAAUACGCAUUGCGAAGGCGACCUGCUAGAACAUAACUGACGCUGAGGCGCGAAAGCGUGGGGAGCAAACAGGAUUAGAUACCCGAGUAGUC
rnacentral:rRNA from 1 species